rnacentral:rRNA from 1 species
GUUUGCAUUUCAAUAAGCGGAGGAAAAGAAACUAACAAGGAUUCCCCUAGUAACGGCGAGUGAAGAGGGAAGAGCUCAAAUUUGAAAGCUGGUACCUUCGGUAUCCGCGUUGUAACCUCGAGACACGUUUUCCGUGCGGCGCUAUGGACAAGUUCCUUGGAACAGGACAUCGUAGAGGGUGAAAAUCCCGUACUUGCCAUGGAUGUACCGUGCUUUGCGAUACGUGCUCUAAGAGUCGAGUUGUUUGGGAUUGCAGCUCAAAAUGGGUGGUAGACUCCAUCUAAAGCUAAAUAUCGGGGAGAGACCGAUAGCGAACAAGUACCGUGAGGGAAAGAUGAAAAGCACUUUGGAAAGAGAGUUAAAAGUACGUGAAAUUGUCGAAAGGGAAGCGCUUGAAGUCAGCCAUGCCGCUCAGGACUCAGCCUGGCUUUUGCUUGGUGUAUUUCCUGGGUAGCAAGUCAGCAUUGGUUUGGAUCGUCGGAGAAGCAUAGUUGGAAUGUGGCGCCCUCGGGCGUGUUAUAGCCUUCUAUUGGAUACGACGAUCUGGACCAAGGAACGCAGCGCGCCUUAUGGCGGGUCUUCGGACACCUUCGCGCUUAGGAUGCUGGCGUAAUGGCUUAAGUGGCCCGUCUUGAACCCGGGC